CUCCGUUCUCUCUCCUCAGACCCGACGGGUCACGCUCGACCCGACCCUACUGGAAACCAGCCUUCCUGGCGGCCGACGACCGAGGACCCGGCCUGAACCGACUCGCCUCAGCUUCCGUCGUCGACCCUUGGUGUUGGUUUCACCGGUGGAGCACCCCAGAAGGAGAUCGGAGACGUGAACAGUGACGGCGGGCCAACCCGGUUGGAUUUCCCAGUUUCCGGCGACUCCUUGGCCGAUCCCUCUCGGUUUUGGGUUGUCCUCCUCCUCAUGAUCAUCCUCAUAUCCUCCUUGUACCACGAUUUUGAGUGUAGAGUGGUAGAUCAAGGUUUGAAGCUUUCGACGGCUCUGGUUCAAUCUGGAAACGUGAUCAGACGACCAAGAUUGAUCCAACUUCCAAGCUUGAUCUAGGACGAUCUAGACCGAAUCUCACUUAACUCCAGGUGAUUGACGGAUUUGAUUGGCGAACGAUUUGUGAAUCGUUAUUUUUGGGCUGUUAUGAAGACGCAGCAGGAUUUUGAGUUGUGGGUUGUGAUCUGUAGUGAUUGGAAAAUGAGUCGGGAUGGCAUGAUUUUGGCAACCGCGUUAUGUUGAGGGAAAUGAGUAUGAUUUCCUGGUUGUACCGUUGAGGCAAGAGAAUGGUGAUCUGAUAGAUUGUGGGGACGUGAAAUGUUUAAAAUAUUGGGAGUUAUUUGUAUAAUUGGAGAUUGUGGGAAAUAAGAUAAAAUGAAUUGAGAGAUAGAGCAUGUUAUUGUUUAAUUUGAACUUGACGUUUUUGUUGUGAUAAUUGCAUAUUGUUUUUGUUAGGCUGUGAUGGUGAAAACAUGUUUUUUGUGGAAUUAAAUAUUGUUGCUUUAAUUUAUCUCACGAGUUGAGAAAUUAUAAGCAUGCGUGACGUGAGUUACUUUAAUUGAGUUUACUCAU